ensembl:antisense Gm15655 predicted gene 15655
UCUCAAGAACAUGGUGCAGGGGUGGGGGUGGGGGGUGGCAGAGGCUGGGAAACACAGCAAGCUCCAAAAAAUUAGUAAUAGUAAUAAUAAACAAAAACAAAGAAGAAGAAGAAGAAAAAAGAAAAUCCAAACAAAAUAAAACACACAAACACACACACACAGAAUGAACACCAGCUCAUGAGCUGAAGAAGAAGAAGAAAAAAUAUAUAUACAGGCAAUUGAUGGCCCGGUUCAAAGGUGAGCUAUGCCCUACAUGAAGUAUGCUGCUCAGAUCUUUGACCCUUGUGCAAGUCCAGGGUAUGUGUGGGGCAGGCGGUGUAAAAAGAGUAGUAGUUGUAAUAAUAAUAAUAAUAAUAAAAAAGAACAAAACAACCAAGCUAGCAAGUUACGGGGGAAUUCAGGCUCGGGAAGGUCCUCCGCGGCUGGCGGUGACGGUGGUG